CAAACGUAUAAGAAGUUCUGACUUGCCGACUGGCGUGACCAGUGACCAACACCAUGGAUUCGGCUGGGACAAAUACGCUGACAGGGAAGGAGUCAGGAAAGAGGGAGAGAUGGCCGACCCAGUGUCCACACAGAAAUGACUAGGUUCUUCAAGCCAGGGGAAAGCGCCGGCGCGUUCAAGGGCCUUCCAACCACUCCACACCAGUCAAAGAGAUAGCCCACCCGCCCAUUAAGUUUCAUUUCAGCUAAACAUUUACUCAAAAACUCCAAACAGGUACAAGGAAAACUGGCAGAAGAUUACACACACUAGCACAGACUGAAACAGAGAGAACUAAAUACAGAUACAAAGUGAACACUAACAAGGUGACGACAGGUAACACAGAUGAUCAGGAUGAUGAACAGGUGGAUGAUUGAGGGAGUGAAUUCAGGUGUGGAGACAAGAGGAUGCUGGGAAGUGUAGUGAAGAUGACGAAGACAGAAUU